rnacentral:misc_RNA from 1 species
AAAGUCGUAACAAGGUUUCCGUAGGUGAACCUGCGGAAGGAUCAUUAUUGAAAGAAACCUCAGGCAGGGGGAGGUGGUUGUAGCUGGCCCUUAGGGGCAUGUGCACACUGUGUCUCUCUUGCUUGUUUCUUCAUUCUCUCCACUUGUGCACUGCUUGUAGGCAGCCCUGGCAUUGUUCAGGUUGUCUAUGAUUUUCUUUACAUACAUGAACACUUGUUGUACAGAAUGUGAUAAAAAACUAGUAAUACAACUUUCAACAACGGAUCUCUUGGCUCUC